AACAUUUCCUGAAAGUUUUAUCUGGUGUAGCGAAAGAGAGAGAGCCAGACAAGAGGUGUGCAUCACCACAAAUGUCAUGACCAGUAAAACGACGCCGGGUGGGGUUUCCGUCAGCUUAUAUUUCUAACACAACAUUUCUAGCCCUUACCUUAGUUAUCUGUGUAUCCUGAAGGUAAAACUUCAAACUUAAAUCAAGAACAAGAACAUCCUUAUAUGCCGGGCACCUGUCGCAAAACUCGUUUAUUAUUGUUGAAUUUGAGCGAGAACGAAAAACGUGGGCAGCUGGUUGUCUAUCGGGGAAGAACCUGUUUUCUUCGGUGAUGUGUCAAGUCCUGACCAGACAUUAAAACCAUGUGACACAUGUCGAGUGGGAAAAGACUGUCAGGUUUCUGUGUUAGACCGGGGUCAGACUUGCUGCCACGUGAACUUUAAAGACUUCUAUGAUGAAAAGGGGUCUGGAACAUGUUUAUUUCAAUAUAUGAUGCGCUAGGUAAAUUAUUUUUUAUUAUUAUUUUUCUUAGAUUAAGCUUUGUGAUAGCUGUAGGAUUGUGACAGCAUCAGUCGAUGUAUUACACGAUAUCUGCUCCAGGCAUUCAUUGUAAAACAUUACUUCCAUUAGUAUACCCUUUCCCAUAAUGCUAGCCCUGUUUCACAUCCUUUUGGAAUAUCGUGUUACUCUCAUUCUUGUCAUUUUGUUCCUCUUUGUGCAUUCUAUAUUUGUUUUAUUCUUCGUUUAGUACGGUUGUUUAUUCUUUUACAAAGUUACUUCUCGCUAACUCAGUCUCAAAGCUUUACUGCCAGACCAAGCAGGACCAGUUCCCGUGCCGGGAGAACAGGUGCGAGCAGAUUUGUACCGGACAGUCUGGGUACUACGUCACCCGCGGUUGCUGUCCGUCUCGCGCGACCAAGCGUGGGGUGGAAGGGGAUGCGGGGUGGAGGGAACAAGCACUGUCAGCGGUACACACUGCCCUAAACAAACGCUCCGGCUACACUAGACUUGCCAUUUUUUUAUUUUUUUAAGAAAGAAAUUUACUUUAACUUCCAUGUAUUUAACUCUACAUGUAUAUUUAAUUGACACUGUUGCAUUCUUUUCGUUAUCUUGUACAUGACUGUAGUAUACAUGUGCAAGUGAGUGAAACUAAUUUCAAAAGUAUAGAUUGUGCUGUUAUAUUGAAGCUGUGGCAAUAUAGUGUAGUUAAUUUUUAAAAUUAGUUUAUUCCUUGUUACUCCUCGAGGUGCAUAGGGCCGCAACAACACCUCGCCAACGGACCCCGGUAUAGGGCAGCCCCCAUCAGCUGGGCCAUGUGGUUCCGAUGUCCUUUACCUCGCUCUCUGCUGCUCUUUUUCAAGUUUGCUUUGGUCUCCCGACUCUCCUCUUCCCCUGAGGGUUCCAGUCAAGUGCCUGCCAGGCAAUGGUGUCAGCUGGUUUGUACAGGGUGUGUCCUAUCCACCCUCAUUUGCGCUUUUUGAUGUCUUGACUAAUGGCAUUCUGGUUGGUUCUUUUCCAUUUAAAACUAAUAUUCAAAGAUUAUUAUUAACUAACAACGCUUUAACACACAACACACUUCAUAGGUCAAUUAGUCAUUGUGGGCUGAACCUCUAAUCAAGCUCAUUUUUAAAGGAAGUGAAAAUUGGGGAUACUGAGGAGGCAUGACAUGUUGGCGUUUUGCACCAAUUUAUGAACACUGAAGGCAAGUCUCGAGAAAAAUACACACUGCAUCCCUGUACAAUGUACAAAUGCGUCAAGGAUGAUUACCAGCAAAUAUCUGGUUUUAUUUAGAUUCAUAAAUAUUGUAAUACAGAUGUUAUAUUGAAAAUUUUAAUGCAUGUACACAAAUUAAGGUAGAAAUUUUACAAAACAAUAACCCUAUAAACAAAUUGUUACUUAGACAUAAAUACUGAAUUAUAUAUAAAUGAUUACUAAAAAUUAUGCAUUUCUUUGCAUCGCUACAUUAUUAUUCUUCUGCAGUUAGCCUAUGGCACAAGGGAUUCAAGACACUGCUAGGAUUUUUGUGCUUCAGAUGUGAAAGGAAGACGUACUUGUUCAUGGGUGUUGUGUAAGAUAAAGAAUAUGGUUUUACUCUAGAUUUUUUAUUUGGCAAAAGAGGAUGACAGGUCACAUGACCUUGUGUAAAGUUUGUAUUGGAGGGUAUUAUGAGCAGUUUUUUUAGAUAAAAGAAAUGCACAAGUUCAGAUACAUUUUUCAGAAUACUCUAAGUGUAUAUACUUUUUUGGAUGGCUUGCUUGGCUGAUGGAUGUACUCUUAAGUGACUGUUACCUUAUGUGCCUGUGGUCUGAUUUAUAUUUUUAAAUAUUGUAAUUUAUGUUAUAGAUCUAUCCAACAAAAUAAAAUAAAAACUGUCAGUAGCUGACACUACCACAUCAACCAGUGUAGUCAAACCUAAUCACUUUAUAUCUUUUGAUAUACUUUCUUAUUUGUCACUGACUGAUGUUUUUUGACAAGUUGUUGCAGCACAAGUAUAUGAGAAGUAUAUCAGGGAAAUCAGCCACCAAUGGAUGAAGAUGUACACCCUGAAGGCAUGUAUUGAGUAAAAUACACAUUGUAUUUCUUCGUUUUGUUUGUCACUGUCCUAGAAAAAAUCCCCCAGUCAGAACUCAUACCAAAUAGAAAAAAAACCCAACAAAAACAAACUUUAUAAUAGUUUAAUUUUAGAAAAUGGCAUAUAGAGAAAAUGAACCAUUUUUAAACAUUUCAUACGAAUACAAAAGAACAAGCAUUAAAAGACAUCACUCAACUUUCUUGACAGUAUACAUUUACAUGAAGAGUCUAACAGUACACCAUAUUUCAGAGUACAGUAUUUGUAAUUAAGUGAAAUAAAGAAGCGGUAAAAAAUGUUAUCUGCUACACAUCUUUAAAUAUUGUACUUACAGUUUGGCAUCAUACCAUGAAUUAAAAAAAAAAAA
rnacentral:lncRNA from 1 species